GUCUGUCUUGCAGCCAAUGAGCACCGUGGGGGUCCCACGGCAGAAAUGUGUGACCUCAGGGAACCACUGUGGAGGGAGAAGGCAGGCAUCAGGGCUGAGGCCAGAUCCGUGGUCCCCACCCCUGAGGUCUCUGCAGAAAUGUCACCUCCUCGGGGGCAGCUUUCCUGACUGCUCGGAGACAAAGCCUUCGACCCAGUCUGUCCCAUGUCCGACCAUGGCUUUAUUAUUCUUCUGAACGGCCUCCUGACCUGUGAAACAACACGCCGCGGCAGUGCUCACUCAUGACGAAGGCUCGUUGUGCUCUCUCAUGGCUUCAUUUGAAGCCCGUGGCCUACACUACCUCAUCACGAUGCCAACAAGGUAGGGCUGUAGUUAUCCCCAUUUUAGAGAUGCAAGAAAGUGUAGCACAGAGAGGUGAAGCGAGUUGCCUUAAGGUCACACAGCUAAGGGGACACUCUGUAAAAGACAGAGGACCGUAGGUGAGACUACUGGGGGUGCCUCUCUCAGUCCACUCGAGAGGGUAGGGAGCUGUCUUCACCCUACAAGCCCCAGGCCCGACCAAAUAAGGCAAAGACUGCCAACACAGGUAUCUCAAGAGAGAGGGGUUCUGGGAGGGGAUGGGCAGCCAGCCCAGCUUCCAGCUCCCUCCUCCAGGUUGCCUUCCUGGCUUGACUGUGCCUGGCUCAACUCUCCCAAGAUUCAGUGUGGUCCUCCACGUGGGGACCAGGCCAACAAACGAUGGACUCCCGCGUGCUGUUGGCCUCAUGUCCCCUCGGGAGGUGUGGAGUGUCCUGACACCUCUCCUCUAUGAGUCAGGAGAGCCAGGCUACACUCCGACUCUCAUUCCGUGACUCGGGUGCCUUCCCUCCCUGGACCUCAGUUUCCUUAUCUGGCAAAGGGGGUGAUAACCCUGCCCCUGAUACUGGAAAUAAAGGACUGGGAGGCUAAGCAAUGUCGGACAAAGGGGAAGGACUGUUACUAUGGUUACUAUUGAACCAGAAACUUCUGGGGGUGGGGGGGCUGGGCGAGGGUUCUAACCCUGGAUCUUUGGACCCACAAGUUUUAGGGGGCCCUCCAGCCACAAGGCGAUACUAAUACCCUCCCCAUCUACCCACACUGAUGCCAGGGCUUAAAGGGGCCAAGUCACCUGUCCAGAGGCGCACCGGGCUUCCACUCUGGCCUCUGCAGAUGAGCUUGCACAGAGUCACGUGCAAAAGGACGCAUUUGUUUCUGAAGAGGAAAGGUCUUCUGGGCCCCAGCUCCCCUUGAAGUGGCCCAUCUUCCUGAAGCUGGCAGUGCAGUGGGGUGGGGAGGAAGUGAGGCUCUCGCCUAGCACGAGGGUAUUUCCUUUGUGGGAAGGAGCUUUGCUGUGUCAGUCACCUCUGCAGGGGCAGAGAUCUCUAAGGCCUGGAGCCCGGUUGAGGAGAGAGGGUGUCACUGGGCCACAGUGGUCCCCAAAUAUUCUGGACCUACCAGAGCAGGUGGUUCCCAGCUCCAGCCAGGACAUCGGUCAGGGGAGGGGCGCAGGCAGCAUGAGAAGGGGAAGCUGCCAGAAGAGGAACCCGUGUAUUGCUACUGGGGCCCGCCCACCUGUGCUUCCUUCCCAGGCAGGAGGAGCCGGGCCGGGGCAGCCCCAGCCUGGAGCUGAGGCCACAUUCUGACUGGCCCUUGGCUUCAGCUCUUCAAGCCUCCAGGGCUCCUCGCCCCUAGAUACCCCUCUUGUCCCCGAUUCCCUGUCUCACAACUCCUUUGCCCCCAACUUUUCCUAUUGUUGCCAUCUCAGGCUGGGAAGGGGACCACAGCCCCCCACCUCCCCAGGCAACCCCCAUUCCAUUCUGUGACACCCUCACCCCGGGGCCCACCCCAAGGCCCGCAUAGCUCCAUCUCUAGUUGGUGUCUUAACAGCCCACCUUGUCCCCACCUCCCUUCUGUCCAGGAAACUUCAGACCACACCACAGCUUCCUGCCUCUGACAGUGUCAGGGCGGGGUGGGGGGUGGGGGCAGGGGAGCCCGCCUCCCCUUCACCUGUCAGCACUAAGAGCUCCACCUCCCCUCAACCACCCUCAAGCCACUGUGUCUAUAUCUGCUUCCGCAGGAUGGAGACGCACAGCCAGACUGGCCUCCCACGUGACUCCCACAGACUGGCCUCCCCUGUGGCCAAGGUCCUGGGUGUGGAGAAAUUCAGCCUCUCAGAGGCCACCCCGAGCCCACAGCUCUGGCUGAUCAACCAGUGGUUGGUCAGAAAGAUGCUACUCUGCACUCCCCUCCACCGCCCCACCAUAGGGUUUAGCUCAUCAGGUUCCAGAACCUUCUACAAUAACUUUUACUUGACUCAUCUCCAGUAUAGUCAUUCCCUUCAACCCUUUAGUCUCUAUCUUUCUCUAGUAGGUCACCUGGCCACCCUUUUCGGCUGUUUAUUUUUGACAUCCAUCUACCCCACAGGUAGAGAGGAUCUCACUGCCUUUAUUACACAGGACCUUCUCCAAGGGUGUCUCUGAAUCCAGAUUUAUUCUUUCUAUUCUUUCUUUUUUCUUUUUUUUUUUCAAUGCUUAUAAAUUUUUGAGAGAGAGAGAAAGAGCACGAGCAGUGGAGGGGCAGAGAGAGAGGGAGACACAGAAUCUGAAGCAGGCUCCAGGCUCUAAGCUGUCAGCACAAGAGCCAGAUGCGGGGCUCGCUUAACCAAAUGAUCCACCCAGGCGCUCCUCAGAUUUAUUCUUCAUUCAUUCCAUAAGCGCUGUGCUGGGCACUUGGUGUGUAGAAGAGGAAUGACCCAGUCUCUCCUUCAUGUUCCUCGCAACAGGGCUUCCUGGGUCACGGUAGGACACCCUUGAAGAAACACCCAUGUUUCUUUCUCCCUGAGUAUUCCUCCUUGGGCCGUCCUGCUGACUCUGAAGCCAUUCUACUCCCCCGGGACUCCACUGAGAGACUGUUUUAGCCCUGAUUACAGAGGAGGAACCUGAGGUCCAGGUGUCCCCGAUGACACACAGCCAAGGAGCCAGUGUCAACAAAGCCCAGGUCUGAUUCCAAAGCAUGUGGCAGGAAGAUCGUCGUUGCCCUGGUGGCCGCCCUGGUGCCUCUGAUGACUGGGCCUGAAGCUCCGCCAUCCCUCCCGCAGCACCUGUUAGCGCAAAUCCUUCUUUACACCAAGCAGAAACUUCCAGAACCCCCACACCACAAUCUGUCCUGACAUGUUCUUUGAACAUCUUUCUCUGGGCAAGGCCACGAUGACCAGAAGUGGUCCCUGUGUUGGGUCUGAUGGGGGAGGCUUCCACGAACAGUGAACCCCAGGAAUCUGAUAGGAGAGGCCCUGAGGUCAGAGGAAGGAAUGACCACUCCCCUCUGACUCUCCCUGCUGCACCAGCACCCCACCCACAAAGUGGGGCUAAUGGACCUGCCCCUCCCUGGGUCCCCAACAGGAAGCAUGUGAAACUAAAAGUGUUCCAGCCACACCAUGAUUUUUACUGUUCCUAGAGCUAUGUCCCUGGGAAUUCCUCGACAACCUUUGGCUUUCUCAGUUCACAGGGCUGGAAGCACGGCCCUGCCCUGGGGGUAGCCCUUUGGGGUCCUCGUCCAACAAGAUGGGGCUCCUUAGAAGCCGUUACGGGCGGGAGCCUCCAUACAGUAAAGGCUGAUGAAGUCAGGAAUGGAGGAGGGGUCUGGGGGCCAGACAGUCCCUUUUCUGAUUCUCUCCAGGGUGGCAUGAGACAUCCAUUGACAGGCUUGGGGUGGGGCAUGUCUGGGUUUGGGCUCCGUCCUGUCCCGGGCCAGGGGAGACUUCCCCUUACACAUACAAGGCUUGGCUGGCAGGGAAAAGGGCACCUGAUGACAUGGUUCCACACAGAUCACUAAACACUGAGUCACAGAGGUUGGGUGAGGUUCUAUCCGGGGAUCCUGACCUUUGUCCCCCAGUGUUGGCUCAGCCCAGAGGGGGACUGAGGGCAGGAUGCAAGCUCCUUGGGGGCAGACCCCCCACCCCCUCCCUGCAGCUCCCAACAACAGGGACUCUAAAAACUGACUCGAUUCGCAUAAAUCCACUUGCUUUAGGAGCUGCAGGUGGCAGAGAGAACCUUAUUUUGGACUUACGUUCCCUAUAGCUCUGUUCCUUCCUCAGUGCUUGGUUUAUUCAUAGGGAACCAGGAAGACACAGAAAACUGUAGCCACAAAAUCCUAGAACCACAGGCUCAGAACUGUAGACCGCAGAAUUCCAGAGCCGUGUAUUGUAGCCUAUGGAAUCCCAGGAGUGUGGAACUCAGAAUCAAUAUCCACAGGACCCUGGAGCCUCAGGACUGUCAACCACAGAAUCCCGGAGUCACAGGCUCUGAUCUGUAGCAUGGAAUAUUAUAGACCCGACCCAGAAAUUCAGCCCACAGAAUCCCAGCAUCAGUGGACUCAAACCUGCAGCCCACAGAGUCUUAAAGAGACCACAGCAUGCAACACAUGAAAUCCUGGAACCAUGGGGUGCAGAAGUGAUGCCCACGGUUUUCUAGAACCACAGGAGAGGAACGAAGCCGUGGGUUCCCAGCAUAUCAGCGCUAGGAAGGUGGCGGAGGAGCUCAUGUCAUUCAAAGACCCUCCUUUCAAAGGGGCGACUGAGGCCCUCUGAGCCUCCAGGGCCACCCUGCCAGCGCCCCUCCGCAGCCUUCAGGGGUGACAGGAUGUCAGGGCCCAAAGAGGCUGGUGGGGGUGGGGGGAUGCCCGGAGGGGGAUACCCGGGCGGGGGAAACCCUUCGGACACCCGGGACCCUCGGCGCGCAGGCGCACUCACCAGCGGUAUCGUAUAGGUUCAGGGUCACCUCCUUGCUGCCCACAUUCACUCUGGCCGUGUACUUCUCGAACACGGAUGGGGCGUAGUGCUGUCGGAGAAGGGGUCGGGCUGGUUCUUAAGGGGUGCGACGGAGGCCCGGGUACGGCUGCACCGCCCGCCUUCUCCCCAUCCAGCUCACCUCCCCUCACUCUGAUGGGCUCUGGAAUUCCCGAGGAAGAGCCCCGGGGUGGCGGCUGCCUCUCCGCGCGCUGGACGCCGGGGAGCCGGGGUCCAGGCUGAAGGCCGUCCGUCGCCCCCGAUGGUCCCAAGCCCAUUUCCCCCGUAGCCUAACCCUCACCACCACCACCUCCCCACCCCCCCGGCGGGCCUCACCUCAGGGAAGGAGCCCUGGCUGUACACCAUGAGCAAUGAUGUCUUGCCGCAGCCGCCGUCACCCACGAUCACAAUCUUCAGCUCCUUCCUGCCCGGGUCCGGGCCCGGGGCCCCCGGGGCGUCCAUAGCCGGGAGCCGGCGGCACUGGCAACAGCGCGCGGGACAGACCGCUGGGGCUGAGAGAUCGGGGGCGGGGGCGGGAUCCAGGGGCGGAGCUAGAGAAGCCCCUCCCACUUUGUGCAGGCAUCGCCUCCGCCAGGCAGCCACCCGGGCCCACCUCCCAACUCGUUUUCCUUCUCUUUAGGGUCCUAGCCCGGUGCGUUCACCUGUCAUUCCCAGAGAAACUGAGGCAGCUGAGAAACAGGAGCUCAGCCUGAAGCGCGGCUCCCACUCGCUCCCCUGCACGUCACGGCGCGCCCCCCACCGGCAAGAUUCGAUGGUUUCCGCGGUACCUCGCUGGGCACCCCUGAUUGGCAGGCUCCGCCUUCUGGCAGGGCCCCUCUGAUUGGUCGACUCGGCCUCCCCCAUCUGACAGAGACUCUUUGAUUGGCGGACCGUUGCCCCAGCACCAGAGUUCAGGAGACUGGGUCUCCAGCUCUGGGAAAAGCCCCCUCGCUUUGCCCCGCCCCAGCUGUGUGGCCUGGGGCAAGUCGGCUUCCGACCUCAGUUUCCCCACUAGGUAGGUUGGUCGAGCCAGGAAAGAUGCUAGCACAGGGGGCGUGCCUGCCCACCUAGCCCAGCCCUACGGGCGCCAGUGUGGGUGCAGGUUGGGGGUGGGGAAGAGCGGUUCCCCUCACCUACCCCUCCCACUUCCCUAAGAGCGCAAGGUGGGCGUCUGGCGCCCUCUGGCGGGCAGUCAUCUUGGGGCGGACGGCUUGGAAGGCAGGUGAACUCCGGGAACAAUUUCCUUUGGGGGUUGGCCCCAAACCACGCGGGCGGAAGCCUCUUUCUAGCAGGGGCCAGAGGCGUGAACCGAGGAAGACACCGUCGAGGAAGGGAUGGGGAAAGCUAGGACAGAUCUAGUUGUGAGAAGCUGGGCCCAUUGAUAACUUCCACCCCACCCUUAAAUUUGAUUUGAUUAAGCGCUCUCCAGCCAUUAGCCACAUAUCUUCAGGCCACAAGCCAGGCAGUCUCAUCAAUCCUCCCACGCCCCUUGAUUAAAACAACUAUUUAUUAAGCACUAUGUGCAGGAUAACACGGGGGCUGCUGGUUGAGAGCACCCAACCCUUCCCUCCCUGCAACAGUCCUUCGCAAAAGCCAGGCUAGUGGUCAGGAGAGGCAGGAGACCCCUGGAGCCCGAGUGCGGCAAGCAGGCAUUGAAGCAUGGCUAAGUGAGGGAGAGGGGUCCAACCAGCUGGGGUAGGAUCUCUGGUAGGUUCCUCAGAGAGGGCUAGGCAGGACUCAGGAUCUUCUUGCCCCACCCCCACCGCAUCCCCGGGAAGAUUCUGAAUUUCCAAGUUCUCAGUAAAGACCAAGUAAAUUUUACUUCAGGGAGGAAAUUGCCAACCUGGCAAUUUUGUUAAGUGCCCCGUCCGUUCUCAGAGGAUGCAAGGCAGGUCUGACCACCAGAGGGGAGCAGCGGCCGCUCGUGAGAGCUUACAAAAAAAGCCUAUAGCUGGGAAAAGGAGGUAAGGCCCCCCCUAGUUCCACGCUAUUAUGUGAAAGUCCCAAGCUUUAGGCAGCCGGUCAGAGAGCCACCUGCUAGGUCAAGCACCCCCCUUCCCCCCCCCCCCACACACAAAUUUACAGCAACUCAUUCAUUCCUUUUUUACCAUGCAAGUUUAUUGAGAGGCAAUUGUGUUCCUGCCUGGAGGGAGCUGUCUUAGGGGAAGCAGUCUCUUUAAGGGGUCUGGGAGAUGUCAACGCUUUAGAGACCAGACCCCUGUAGGGCUCAGCGAAGGCUGAGCCUAAGCUUGGCAGUGUUGGGAGGGCAGACCAACAGGAGCAAGAUGGGUACCGUGGACAAAUGAACGGUGGCUGGAAAACCCCAUCAGAUUCUGCAGUGCCUGGGGAGUGAGGAGGGAGGCCAGACAUGGUUGUCGAGGUAACCGGGGUUAGAUCAUGGAGGGCCUUGCUGCCAGGCUCAAGGGGCGGGGGGGGGGGGGGGGUGUCAGACAGGAGACUCCUGAACAGAACAGGAGCCCAGCCAAAGCCAGGCCCUCAAGCUCUCUCUGGUGACCAGGGAGGAGCUGGGAUUGGCUGGUGAGGCAGGACUGGGGGUCAUCUUUCCACAGUGGCAGCUUGAGGCUGGCAGGAAAGGACCAGGUUACUAUCACUCGGGGAGACGGAGGCUGGAAGGAGCCUUUGAGUGAGGGGAAGACCACUUACCUUUGCAGCCAGCCCUGGACCUGACCCUGAAUCAGGGCCCCUGAAACCUGGGGAGAGACAGGAAGGGAAGGAGAGAAGGGGCUAGGGGCAGAAUGCGCUUAGGAGGGUCAUCCCACUCUGAGCAAACUGUCACCUGGGAGUUAAUCACACCUCCUGACUUUCCUCAAAAUCCUCAGACCUCGGUUUCUAUUUUCUCCACCUGAGAAACAGGGCUACAGUCCCAACUGAGGCAGAUCAAAUGGCUUCCACAAUACAGAGGGGCAGGGGGAGGAGGAGAGGAAGAGCGAGACUUCCUGGGCCAGCCUGCAGCAAGGCACAACAGCUGACGCUGGCCCCAGACCGCCUGCCCAGCCCCUGCCUGGCCAAGGGGCUGGCAGCACCCCAGCCCCACCCAGCCUGUAGUGUGUUUCAGCUGGACCCAGCUCCAGUGGUGGUGUAGGGGCUGGAUCUGUACCUAAAAAUACCCAGGAGCCAGGCCAGCUGCCGAGAGCUUCCUCAGAGGCAGCUGGGCCAGACCCGGCCAGCUGAGGAGCUGGGCAGGCGCACUCGCAUGGGGGAACCCUGCUCCCUUACCUGUGACAUGUUCUGAGGGGCCCAAGUCAUUCACCUUCUAUUCACCGGGAAUUCCUGGAGAGGUUUAGGAGAGCAAGAAAGGUUCUUUAAGUUGGUUCUUGCCAUAGAGCUGAUGGGCACAGAACAGAAGCUAGGGGAGCAGGCUGGCUGAGCUCAGGAGAGAAUAAGGGCCAGAUCCACUUGUCUUGUCAGGGCAAAGUCGAGCCAGCACAGGACAGGAUGGGGAAGUUAAUGACAAUUCUUACAGCCUCCACUUCCCUGGGACUUCUGCACAUCCUGAGAGUUCACCUCACACCCGAAGGGUCAUCCACCCCAGAUGAGGCAGAAAAAACUGAGCUAUUCUUUGACGUCCCAGAGAUGGGAGGUGGCCAGGAAUGGCCUGGGAGCCCAGGACUCUGUCCAGGUCGCAGCACUUGGUGGCGCUGGUGGGGAGGUCACACUGGAACACAAAAAGCUCCCCUCACAAAGCCAGAAUUAAAAACAUCUCAAAAAGCCA